rnacentral:rRNA from 1 species
AACGAACGCUGGCGGCAUGCCUAACACAUGCAAGUCGAACGAGACCUUCGGGUCUAGUGGCGCACGGGUGCGUAACGCGUGGGAACCUGCCCUUAGGUUCGGAAUAACUCCCCGAAAGGGGUGCUAAUACCGGAUAAUGUCUUCGGACCAAAGAUUUAUCGCCUUUGGAUGGGCCCGCGUUGGAUUAGCUAGUUGGUAGGGUAAAAGCCUACCAAGGCGACGAUCCAUAGCUGGUCUGAGAGGGUGAUCAGCCACACUGGGACUGAGACACGGCCCAGACUCCUACGGGAGGCAGCAGUGGGGAAUAUUGGACAAUGGGCGAAAGCCUGAUCCAGCAAUGCCGCGUGAGUGAUGAAGGCCUUAGGGUUGUAAAGCUCUUUUACCCGGGAUGAUAAUGACAGUACCGGGAGAAUAAGCGCCGGCUAACUCCGUG